rnacentral:rRNA from 1 species
UAGUCCACGCCGUAAACGAUGAUUACUCGGUGCUAGCGACAUACUGUUAGUGCCUAAGCGAAAGCGAUAAGUAAUCCACCUGGGGAGUACGGUCGCAAGAUUGAAACUCAAAGGAAUUGACGGGGGCCCGCACAAGCGGUGGAGCAUGUGGUUUAAUUCGAUGAUACGCGAGGAACCUUACCUGGGCUUAAAUGCAUAAUGACAGAAGUGGAAACACUUCCUUCUUCGGACAGAAUGCAAGGUGCUGCAUGGUUGUCGUCAGCUCGUGCUGUGAGGUGUCGGGUUAAGUCCCAUAACGAGCGCAACCCCUAUCCUUAGUUGCCAGCGAGUAAUGUCGGGGACUCUAGGGAAACUGCCGGUGCAAACCGUGAGGAAGGUGGGGAUGACGUCAAAUCAUCACGGCCCUUACGUCCAGGGCUACACACGUGCUACAAUGGCGCAUACAAAGGGCAGCUACAUGGUGACAUGGUGCUAAUCUCUAAAGUGCGU